GAUGAACGCUAGCGAUAGGCUUAACACACGCAAGUCGAGGGGCCGCACAAGGUACCUUGCUCUCUGGGUGGCGACCGGCGCACGUGUGCGUAACGCGUAUGCCACUUGCCCUAUACAGGAGUAUAACCCGUCGAACGACGGACUAAUACUUCGUAUUCUCACAACUUGGCAUCCAGUGGUGAGGAAAGAAAUUCGUUAUAGGAUAGGCAUGCGUCCCAUUAGCUUGUUGGUGAGGUAACGUCGCACCAAGGCAACGCUGGGUAGCAGAACUGAGAGGGUUAACGGACACAAGGGAACUGAGAAACGGUACAGACGACUACGGGAGGAAGAAGUAGGGAAUAUUCAGAAAGGGGAGAAAGAAUGACGAAGAAAUGAAGCGUGAGUGAUGAAGGUAUUCGGAUAGUAAAAAGCUGUUAUUAGGGAAGAACAAAUGUGUAAGUAACAAUGCACGUCUUGAAGGUACCUAAUCAGAAAGCGACGGCUAACUACGUG
rnacentral:rRNA from 1 species